AAAUACCAACACACUAGUUCUCUAUACUAGUAGCCUACACCUGAAGAGUAGUCAAGAGCUUCUUGAAGGUGCAGAGCACCUGCUCGCCAGCAUGUAGUAGCAAGAGCACAAGCUCUGUGUCAAGCAACCAAUUGGAGUCUCUCAGGUUUCCCAGGCCAAUCACAGCUCAAUAGCUAGAACAGUGCAAAUAAUCAACCAAUGAGAGAUCAACAGCAGCAUAGGCAACCAGCGCAUGAUACACUGAAUGGGUUUCCACAAAAGCUUCUCAUCCCUCCUCAGCCAAUUAGCAUUAGACAACCAUCAGGAGAGAGAAGGGGAAACAAAAGAACAAAAAGGGAGGAGCCUGGAGGAAGCCAUGAGCUCAAGCUCCACACAUCCGAGGGAGCACCUGGAGAGGGAGAGGAAAGGAGGAGAAGGAUGGCGGGGAAGCUGGAGGGAUGCACUGACCAGGAGGAUCGAGGCAACGGCCGCAGCCGCGUGCUUGUACUCGUGACCAUGAGUCCAUGACCGAAAUUGUCACUGAUGCAAAGAAUGACUGAACCGGCGAGGAAAGCAUUUAAGAGUGGGACUUUCACCCGUGCAUGAAGGCAAGUAGAGUGGGACUUUCACCCGUGCAUGAAG